rnacentral:rRNA from 1 species
CCUACGGGGGGCUGCAGUGAGGAAUAUUGGUCAAUGGACGCAAGUCUGAACCAGCCAUGCCGCGUGAGCGAAGAAGUAUUUCGGUAUGUAAAGCUCUAUCAGCAGGGAAGAAAAUGACGGUACCUGAGUAAGAAGCUCCGGCUAAAUACGUGCCAGCAGCCGCGGUAAUACGUAUGGAGCAAGCGUUAUCCGGAUUUACUGGGCGUAAAGGGAGCGUAGGCGGCCUGCCAAGUCUGAUGUGAAAUACCGGGGCUCAACCCCGGGGCUGCAUUGGAAACUGGCAGGCUGGAGUGCCGGAGAGGCAGGCGGAAUUCCUAGUGUAGCGGUGAAAUGCGUAGAUAUUAGGAGGAACACCAGUGGCGAAGGCGGCCUGCUGGACGGUGACUGACGCUGAGGCUCGAAAGCGUGGGGAGCAAACAGGAUUAGAUACCCCAGUAGUC